rnacentral:misc_RNA from 1 species
CAACCCUCAAGCCUGGCUUGGUAUUGGGCUCCGCCACUCACCUGGCGGGCCUUAAAAUCAGUGGCGGUGCCGUCGAGGCCCUGAGCGCAGUAAAUAUCCUCGCUAUAGGGACCCGGCGGACGCUGGCCAUCAACCCCCGACUUUCUAA